rnacentral:rRNA from 1 species
AUUGAACGCUGGCGGCAGGCCUAACACAUGCAAGUCGAACGAGUGGCGGACGGGUGAGUACUGUCUGGGAAACUGCCUGACGGUGGGGGCUAACUACUGGACACGGUAGCUAAUACCGCAUACCAUCAGAUGUUCCCAGAUGGGAUUAGCUAGUUGGUGGGGUCACGGCUCACCAAGGCGACGAUCCCUAGCUGGUAUGAGAGGAUGACCAGCCACACUGGAACUGAUACACGGUCCAGACUCCUACGGGAGUCAGCAGUGGGGAAUAUGGCACAAUGGGCGCAAGCCUGAUGAAGCCAUGCCGCGUGUAUGAAGAAGGCCUUCGGGUUGUAAAGUACUUUCAGCGGGGAGGCGUUACCCGCAGAAGAAGCACCGGCUAACUCCGUGCCAGCAGCCGCGGUAAUAC